UUACUAUCAGUAGGACCGGCGAGAGAGGCUGCCCACGCACCUCUAUUUCCGUCUGUGGCGAUUCCCAUCGCAUCCUUCCCAAACAGAGUGCCUCGCCAGUUCCCCACGGCAGCGGAUUCCCCUUCGUCUUCAUCUUCUCCAAUCUUCAUCAAAUCCCACUACACAACAAUUACUUUGUUGAUUCAGUUGCUCUUACGAUCUGGUAUUUAUCUCCGGGCCGCUUGCGAUUUGGCAAGGUAAGCGAUGGCGAGGACGUGCCCCCUUGCAACGAGAUCCACAGGCAGUCGUCGCAGCCCUGCCUCCGGCUUCCCCAACGUAGGGGCCCCCACCCUGGAAGAAGUGCGCCUCUCGGCGGAUGCCACUGUGCCGACAUCGAUUCCGGCCACUAUCGGCGAUUACCUUGCCGCCCUGUGUCGGGUGCCUCGACAGAAGGCCGGGAGGCUCCCGGUGGAGCGGCCAACCCAUCUCGGUGCCGCUCAACUUCCCCACCUCGCAUUCGCUGGGCUCUCGCUUGGAUGGACGCUCUUCCCGGCUACUCAGCCAUGGAGUGGACAUCGCGCCCGGGAGGUCUCCAGCCGGUGGACCUUUUUAUUUUCGGCCUUGAAGGGCUGUGCUGGUGGUGACAUCGGGUAGGGCCUCCAUUGAUAUUGAUAGCCAUGACUUGCAGGAGUGCUAGAUCGACGUCCUCCCGCAGGUGCCGCCUCGGCUGAUUCAGAGACGACAUUGACUGCGGCAAUGGUGGCCCUUCAUAGCAAGUGACAUUCUACUGCAGCAGUGGUGCCUUUUUGCUUUGGGGCAUCUGCGCUGGAAGUCUGGCUCCUUUCUAUCAGCGAUGGAUUUGCAAGGUAUUCAGUAAUUGAUGGUUGGAGCUCCCUAUCCUAAUAAUAUCCGAGAUGGUGCUCCCCAUCAUCUCAGGUGGUGCGCACUGGACGACGACCAAGUAGUCAUCUUCGUCGGUCCGUUCACUGCAUAUACAUACUCUGCAGAUUUUUGUCUCCCUACUGGUACAUAUUCUUCCCAAGUUCUCCUCCAGGUUUAUGAAAUGGCUAUUUUUAUACUGAUAGUAACUCGAGUAUAGCACCUAUUGUAGUACUACUGUGUUAUAACAGAUAUAAGUAAGAUUUGUUUGAUUUCAGGCGACGAUUCCCCUGUCCCCAACACUCACUGAUAGUAUUUUGUUUGUUCCAUAUGGCAGUAUUGAGACUAAAUUGGAGAGAGAACAAACUUGAUACACUUGGUAAUGUUGGUCAUCCGAAAGCUUCAGAAAUACUCCCUCCGUUCCACAAUAUAUAUGUAAUAUCGGACGGAGGGAGUAUCAUUUAGUGACGGGCAAAAUGUAUUGAUGCAUGUACAGAAUGUCAACAAAUGUUACUUACUCAUUUUAUUGUUAUGUAAUACCCCUUCCGUUCCAAAAUAGAUGACAAAGUUAGUACAAAGUUGAGUCAUCUAUUUUGGAACGGAGGGAGUACAAGGAUACGUGAAUGUGCUGUAUCUAAAUCUGAUCUAUAUACCAAUAUCGACGAACCAUCUAAAUGGCUGAGAUGAUGUAAUGUAACUAAAACCUUUAGCCUAACUUGAAGCAUGGACAUAAAAGAUUAAUUUUUA